rnacentral:rRNA from 1 species
UACGGAGGGCGCGAGCGUUGUUCGGAAUCAUUGGGCGUAAAGCGCGUGUCGGCGGCUUGGCAAGUCGAGUGUGAAAGCCCGGGGCUCAACCCCGGAACUGCGCUCGAAACUGCCUCGCUAGAGUCCCGGAGGGGAGGGCGGAAUUCCCGGUGUAGAGGUGAAAUUCGUAGAUAUCGGGAGGAACACCAGUGGCGAAGGCGGCCCUCUGGACGGUGACUGACGCUGAGACGCGAAAGCGUGGGGAGCAAACAGG